rnacentral:lncRNA from 1 species
UUGGUGCAUUCACCUUAUGAUAUCCAGUGGAACAACCACUUUACAAUAGUGCAUCUAAAUCUUUUAGGGGGGGGGGGGGGUUAGAAGGAUACUUUAUCCUAUCCUAGGUAUUACAACAUAACGUGUAAGUUCUGGAGGAACACCAUAACCCUUGCUUUAUCAAGGAGCUGCUGCAGGACCUGAGCUCCAUCCUGUGCAUCCUGACCUGGGGUGGGUAACAUCAACAUCUGGGUCUGUAGGCUGGAGACCAUUCUUAACUGGCAGCAGCAGCUCAACGACCGCAGAUACCCAAGGAUCUAAGCCCUAGGACCAUGCCUCAGGACUACCUGGCAUGAUGACUCCUUGCUGUCCCCAGUUCACCUGGCUGUGCUGCUGCUCCAGUUUCAACUGUUCUGCCUGCGGCUAUGGAAACCUGACCUGUUCACCGGACGUGCUACCUGUCCCAGACCUGCUGUUUUCAACUCUCUAAAGACAGCAGAAGCGGUAGAGAUACUCUCAAUGAUCGGCUAUGAAAAGCCAAUGACAUUUACUCCUGAGGUGCUGACAUGUUGCACCCUCGACAACUACUGUGAUUAUUAUUAUUUGACCAUGCUGGUCAUUUAUUAACAUUUGAACAUCUUGGCCAUGUUCUGUUAUAAUCUCCACCCGGCACAGCCAGAAGGGGACUGGCCACCCCUCACAGCCUGGUUCCUCUCUAGGUUUCUUCCUAGGUUUUGGCCUUUCUAGGGAGUUUUCCUAGCCACCGUGCUUCUACACCUGCAUUGCUUGCUGUUUGGGGUUUUAGGCUGGGUUUUGGUACGGCACUUUGAGAUAUCAGCUGAUCUAAGGGCUAUAUAAAUACAUUUGAUAUAAGAACAAACAUUAUGAAUUUAGUGAACAUAAAUAUAAUGUUUGUGUGUGGUUCAAAAGUCAAAACUCAUGUCGGCGUUCGUUAUUAUUGUAGGAUAAUGCGGUUCUUAUAGACUUACACAAAUCGACAAGGAGUCAGUAGAAACCUUUUUUAACCUCUACGGGAUCGGUGUCCCGCCAGCUUGACGGUUGAGCUAAUGUAGGCUAAUGUGAUUAGCAUGAGUAACAAAAACUAUUCCCAGAAUAUAGACCUAUCUGAUAUGGGCAGAAAGACUCAAUUCUUGUUAAUCUAACUGCACUGUCCAAUUUACAGUAGCUAUUACAGUGAAAUAAUACCAUGCUAUUGUUUGAGGAGAGUGCACAAUUAUGAACUUGAAAAUGUAUUAAUAAACCAUUUAGGUACAUUUGGAACAGAUAUGCAAUGGUUCAUUGGAUCAGUCUAAAACGUUGCACACAGACACUGCUGGCCUUGCACACACAGUGGCCAAAAUCUAAAUUGCACCUGGGC